rnacentral:rRNA from 1 species
UACGGAGGGGUGCGAGCGUUUAUCCGGAUUCACUGGGUUUAAAGGGUGCGUAGGUGGGAAUGUAAGUCAGUGGUGAAAUCUCUGGGCUUAACUCAGAAACUGCAUUGAUACUAUGUUUCUUGAAUUUUCUGGAGGUCAGCGGAAUAUUGUCAUGUAGCGGUGAAAAUGCUUAGAUAUGACAUAGAACACCAAUUGCGAAGGCAGCUCACUACACAAUC